rnacentral:rRNA from 1 species
GAUGAACGCUAGCUACAGGCUUAACACAUGCAAGUCGCGGGGCAGCAUGUCGGUUGCUUGCAACCGAUGAUGGCGACCGGCGCACGGGUGAGUAACGCGUAUCCAACCUACCCUUCACCACGGAAUAAUCCAGUGAAAAUUGGUCUAAUACCGUAUGAGGUCAUACGAUGGCAUCAGAAUAUGACGAAAGGUUUAGCGGUGAAGGAUGGGGAUGCGUCUGAUUAGCUUGUUGGCGGGGUAACGGCCCACCAAGGCUACGAUCAGUAGGGGUUCUGAGAGGAAGGUCCCCCCACAUUGGAACUGAGACACGGUCCAAAACUCCUACGGGAGGCAGCAGUGAGGAAUAUUGGUCAAUGGGCGAGAGCCUGAACCAGCCAAGUAGCGUGCAGGAUGACGGCCCUAUGGGUUGUAAACUGCUUUUAUAAGGGAAUAAAGUGAGUCUCGUGAGACUUUUUGCAUGUACCUUAUGAAUAAGGACCGGCUAAUUCCGUGCCAGCAG